CGCAGCUGAGUUGAUGAGGAGUGAGCAGAGCAGAAUUUCCACCAGGUAUUGGCGUGACAGCAGACGCCCCGGGGGUGAGCAGGACAGUGCUGGCCAGAGCCCUUUCUCCCCAGAGGAUAGCUUGGGGUAACAGGAGAUCAAGGCAUACAGUGGAGUCUUCUCAGGGAAGAUGUCGUCUUUGACAAUGAGAAGCCGUUGUGUGGACAAAAGAGGAAGUUUCUUUAAGCUCAUUGACACAAUUGCCUCAGAAAUCGGAGAACUGAAACAGGAGAUGGUACAGACAGAUCUCACAGUGGAAGAUGAACCUGCUGAUUGGCGAAGUCUAAUAAAGGAUAUGGAUAAUGUCUCUCCUGAGAAAAAUGAUGUAAAAAGCUGCCCCCGGGACUCUGGAUAUGACAGCCUAUCCAACAAGCUGAGCAUAUUGGACAAACUCCUCCAUACUCACCCUGUGUGGCUGCAGCUUGGUCUGAACGAUGCUGAAGCCAUGGAAAUUUUGCAGACACAGCCUCCUGGGAUAUUUCUGGUUAGGAAAUCUGCAAGGCUGCAGAAGAAAGUCAUCUCUCUUCGUCUGUCCAGUGACUGUGGGUCCUGCCUGAAAGAAUUUGCCAUAAAAGAAAGUACAUACACGUUUUCCUUGGAGGGGUCUGGAAUAAGUUUUGCUGAUUUGUUCAGACUCAUUGCUUUCUACUGUAUUAGCAGGGAUGUCCUUCCAUUCACACUGAAGUUGCCUCAUGCAAUUGCUACAGCAAAGACAGAAGCUGAACUUGAAGAGAUUGCUCAGCUUGGACUGAACUUUUGGAGCUCCCUGGCUAACAGCAAACCCCCGGAUCCUUCACCUCCCUGUAGGCCUGUGCCUUUGGACCGUGCUCGCAAAGACUCACGCCAGCUCUGCCUUAUAAAUGGAGUGCAUUCUAUACGAACCAGAACGCCUUCAGAGCUGGAGUGCAGCCAGACCAACGGAGCGCUGUGUUUCAUUAAUCCCCUCUUCUUAAAAGUGCACAGCCAGGAUGUCAGUGGAAGUCUGAAAAGGCAGAGCCCGAGAGCUCCAGACGUGAAUGGCACAGCGAGGCCUCGCUCCCCCCCGCCCCGGCCACCACCUCCUGCUAUUAAUAGCACCCUCACGAGCCCACAGAUUUCCAGGACUAUAAAACAGGCGAGCAUGCCAGAAACAGUCAGCCAUAAGAAGGAGAGGGGCUUGGAUUUGCUGCAGAACAAGCCCACCCCGAUUCCGCCUCCUCGGCUGAAGAAGCAGGCUGCGUGCUCCGAGGCAGACAGUGCCUGCAGGAGCGCGGCUGCGCCCCGGCCUGACUCCGUGUGCGUGCCCGAGGCGGCCGCGGUUCCGCGGGAAGCCCUGCCCGAGCCGGCUCCAGCAGCUCCCAAAAAGACUCCGGCUGCCAUCUCUGAGUCACACAUCCCGUGGAAUGGAGGCAGGCAGAGACUGAGCGACAUGAGCAUUUCCACCUCCUCCUCUGACUCCCUGGACUUCGAUCGGAGCAUGCCGCUCUUCGGCUAUGAGGGGGACACCAACAGCAGCCUGGAGGACUUUGAGGGGGAAAGUGACCAGGAGAGCAUGGCACCCCCUUUGAAGCCCAAGAAGAAAAGAAGCAGUUCGUUUGUUCUCCCCAAGAUUGUGAAAUCUCAGCUACGGAAAGUCAGUGGAGUUUUCAGUUCCUUCAUGACCCCUGAGAAGAGGAUGAUUAAGAAAAUUGCAGAGAUGUCCCGGGACAAACGUACCUAUUUUGGAUGCUUAGUACAGGACUAUGUCAGUUUUCUCCAAGAAAACAAGGAGUGCCAUGUUUCGAGCACUGAUAUGCUGCAAACAAUUCGUCAGUUCAUGACCCAAGUCAAGAACUACUUGUCCCAAAGCUCCGAACUUGAUCCCCCAAUCGAAUCACUGAUUCCUGAAGACCAAAUAGAUGUUGUGCUGGAGAAGGCCAUGCAUAAGUGCAUUCUGAAGCCGUUGAAGGGUCACAUUGAAGUGAUGUUGAAAGAGUUUCAUACCACAGAUGGUUCCUGGAAACAACUGAAGGAAAACCUGCAGCUGGUGCGGCAGAGGAAUCCUCAGGAGCUGGGCGUGUUUGUCCCAACACCAGACUUUGUGGACGUUGAAAAGAUUAAAGUCAAGUUCAUGACUAUGCAGAAGAUGUAUUCACCUGAAAAGAAAGUCAUGCUGCUGCUGAGAGUUUGCAAAUUGAUUUACACUGUCAUGGAGAAUAACUCAGGGAGGCUGUAUGGAGCUGAUGACUUCCUGCCUGUGUUGACGUAUGUGCUAGCCCAGUGUGACAUGCUGGAGCUGGAUACCGAAAUCGAAUACAUGAUGGAGCUGUUGGAUCCAUCCUUGCUGCAUGGAGAAGGGGGCUAUUACUUGACAAGCGCUUACGGAGCACUUUCACUGAUCAAGAACUUCCAGGAAGAACAAGCUGCCCAGCUGCUCAGUUCAGAGGCCAGAGACACUCUCCGGCAGUGGCACAAGAGGAGGACAACAAACAGGACAAUACCUUCAGUGGAUGAUUUUCAGAUUGCUGAGCACUGGGGAGAAUAUUUGGGAUAAAGAAAUGAAAGGCACAAGGGAAGCUCCACACUCCCGAGGGAAUGCUUUAGGCACGUGCAGCUUCUGACCUCACCAACAAUCCCAGCUGCCACAGAAACCUUCUGAAGCUGGGAGAGGGAAGACAAUUCCAAGAGCUCUGGGAAGAGCUUUCUCCCAGGACUGGAUGGCAUUGAGCUUGGAAUGAGUUCCAAAUCAUCCUUGUGCCUCUCCUGUUGCCAUCCAGGACUAAGUCGGUGUUCCCUGAGUGGCUGCAGUUCCCUGAGUGUGGAGGGAAGAAGCCUGUGCUGGAGAAUGGGAGAAAAGUCCCUGCUGGUUGCUGUGUCCUCCGUGGGCACAGAACUCUGGCCAGAUGGGUUGGACAGGGAAGAUCACUAAACUUGUCCCAGCCUUGCCAAGAACUCUGGUGUUUGGGCUGCCAAACCCAAACUGGUCCUGCCCUGAUUCUGGAACUGCGUCUCUGGAUGUGUGCUGAGCUCUCACUGCUGUGGACUGUGCAGCCUUAAUUGCUGCAGGGUUCUGUUCUUCUCUCUGGGGAAUUGGAAAUAAUUAUUAAUUAGAAGGCAACAUGCUUUCAGAAACCUCUCCCUUUUUCUGCCUUUCAGUAGCAGAUCUUCUCUUUCUGCUUCUGAAUUUACAGCAAUUCUCAAAUGUCAUUUCACCUGCCCAAACUCCUCACAGCCCAGGGGGGUUCAGGGAAGGUGCUGGUCUUUUGCCACGUGUGUAGAUAUGUAACCACUUAGCAGAUAAUCUCAGAUUCUGUAAAGACAGCCAUUCAUUUUAAAAUCAAGACCAAACUCCUGCUGCUGGGAAGCUGUGAUCAGUUUAUAAUUUAGCUUUAGCUCAGAGAUACCAGAUUUGUGUACAUCAGAAUAGCCCCAACUUCCUUGCAACCCAGAGCAUCAGUGUCACCUGACUGAGCUUCUCUGCCACUGUCACCACAGGUGACUGUCCUCCCUCUGCACAACCAGCGCAUCAAUAAAGCAGUGGAAGGUGAAAUGAUAGAAAUCAAUCUGCCUCUCAUUAGUGGGAUGAAUAGAAGUGUUCUGGGGAGAGGGAUUGAUGAGGGGGUGAGCAGAUGUGUUAAGAACUUGUUUAAAGAUGGAUAAGAGAAGGAUGCUAAUUCUUUUUUGUCAGAUAGCUGGGAAUAAGCUUUGGAGGACUUUUGGAUGAUGGUGUCUCAAGCAAACAGUGUCAUGUACAAACAGUACAAACACUGCUCAAUAAAACGAGCUUGGAGAAAA